rnacentral:rRNA from 1 species
AUUGAACGCUGGCGGCAUGCCUUACACAUGCAAGUCGAACGGUAACAGGUUAAGCUGACGAGUGGCGAACGGGUGAGUAAUGUAUCGGAACGUGCCCAGUCGUGGGGGAUAACUGCUCGAAAGAGCAGCUAAUACCGCAUACGACCUGAGGGUGAAAGCGGGGGAUCGCAAGACCUCGCGCGAUUGGAGCGGCCGAUAUCAGAUUAGGUAGUUGGUGGGGUAAAGGCCUACCAAGCCUACGAUCUGUAGCUGGUCUGAGAGGACGACCAGCCACACUGGGACUGAGACACGGCCCAGACUCCUACGGGAGGCAGCAGUGGGGAAUUUUGGACAAUGGACGCAAGUCUGAUCCAGCCAUGCCGCGUGCGGGAAGAAGGCCUUCGGGUUGUAAACCGCUUUUGUCAGGGAAGAAAAGGGUGUUUCUAAUAAAGACGCCUCAUGACGGUACCUGAAGAAUAAGCACCGGCUAACUACGUGCCAGCCGCCGCGGUAAAAC